UACGGAGGGGGCUAGCGUUGUUCGGAAUCACUGGGCGUAAAGCGCACGUAGGCGGCUUUGCAAGUUAGAGGUGAAAGCCCGGGGCUCAACUCCGGAAUUGCCUUUAAAACUGCAUCGCUAGAAUUGUGGAGAGGUAAGUGGAAUUCCGAGUGUAGAGGUGAAAUUCGUAGAUAUUCGGAAGAACACCAGUGGCGAAGGCGACUUACUGGACACAUAUUGACGCUGAGGUGCGAAAGCGUGGGGAGCAAACAGG
rnacentral:rRNA from 1 species